rnacentral:lncRNA from 1 species
AAAAACACAAAAAUUAGCUGGGCGUGGUGCCACGUGCACUUGUAGUCCCAGCUACUCAGGAGGCUGAGGCAGGAGAAUCGCUGGAACCUGGAAGGUGGAGGCUGCAGUGAGCUGAGAUCGCGCCACUGCACUCCAGCCUGGGUGACAGAGUGAGACUCCAUCUCAAAAAUAUAAAAUAAAAUAAUAACAAAACAUAUGCUAUGAUGGGAAACCACCUGCUGAAUCAACA